AGCGUACACGGUGGAUGCCCUGGCAGUCAGAGGCGAUGAAGGGCGUGCUAAUCUGCGAUAAGCGCCGGUAAGGUGAUAUGAACCGUUAUAACCGGCGAUACCCGAAUGGGGAAACCCAGUGUGAUUCGUCACACUAUCAUUAACUGAAUCCAUAGGUUAAUGAGGCGAACCGGGGGAACUGAAACAUCUAAGUACCCCGAGGAAAAGAAAUCAACCGAGAUUCCCCCAGUAGCGGCGAGCGAACGGGGAGGAGCCCAGAGCCUGAAUCAGCAUGUGUGUUAGUGGAAGCGUCUGGAAAGGCGCGCGAUACAGGGUGACAGCCCCGUACACAAAAGCGCAUGUGCUGUGAGCUCGAUGAGUAGGGCGGGACACGUGGUAUCCUGUCUGAAUAUGGGGGGACCAUCCUCCAAGGCUAAAUACUCCUGACUGACCGAUAGUGAACCAGUACCGUGAGGGAAAGGCGAAAAGAACCCCGGCGAGGGGAGUGAAAAAGAACCUGAAACCGUGUACGUACAAGCAGUGGGAGCCCCCUUCGGGGUGUGACUGCGUACCUUUUGUAUAAUGGGUCAGCGACUUAUAUUCUGUAGCAAGGUUAACCGUAUAGGGGAGCCGGAGGGAAACCGAGUCUUAACCGGGCGUUAAGUUGCAGGGUAUAGACCCGAAACCCGGUGAUCUAGCCAUGGGCAGGUUGAAGGUUGGGUAACACUAACUGGAGGACCGAACCGACUAAUGUUGAAAAAUUAGCGGAUGACCUGUGGCUGGGGGUGAAAGGCCAAUCAAACCGGGAGAUAGCUGGUUCUCCCCGAAAGCUAUUUAGGUAGCGCCUCGUGAAUUCAUCUCCGGGGGUAGAGCACUGUUUCGGCUAGGGGGCCAUCCCGGCUUACCAACCCGAUGCAAACUGCGAAUACCGGAGAAUGUUAUCACGGGAGACACACGGCGGGUGCUAACGUCCGUCGUGAAGAGGGAAACAACCCAGACCGCCAGCUAAGGUCCCAAAGUCAUGGUUAAGUGGGAAACGAUGUGGGAAGGCCCAGACAGCCAGGAUGUUGGCUUAGAAGCAGCCAUCAUUUAAAGAAAGCGUAAUAGCUCACUGGUCGAGUCGGCCUGCGCGGAAGAUGUAACGGGGCUAAACCAUGCACCGAAGCUGCGGCAGCGAACGUAUCACCCAAGACAACUUUACGGAGUUGACGAUUGACGGAGCGAAGCGACGUCAAAGCGUUCAUUAAAGUCGAGUUGGCUUAGGGAUACGUUCGUUGGGUAGGGGAGCGUUCUGUAAGCCUGUGAAGGUGUGUCGUGAGGCAUGCUGGAGGUAUCAGAAGUGCGAAUGCUGACAUAAGUAACGAUAAAGCGGGUGAAAAGCCCGCUCGCCGGAAGACCAAGGGUUCCUGUCCAACGUUAAUCGGGGCAGGGUGAGUCGACCCCUAAGGCGAGGCCGAAAGGCGUAGUCGAUGGGAAACGGGUUAAUAUUCCCGUACUUGGUGUUACUGCGAAGGGGGGACGGAGAAGGCUAUGUUGGCCGGGCGACGGUUGUCCCGGUUUAAGCGUGUAGGUGUGUGUUCCAGGUAAAUCCGGUUCACUUUAACACUGAGGCGUGACGACGAGGCACUACGGUGCUGAAGCAACAAAUGCCCUGCUUCCAGGAAAAGCCUCUAAGCAUCAGGUAACAUCAAAUCGUACCCCAAACCGACACAGGUGGUCAGGUAGAGAAUACCAAGGCGCUUGAGAGAACUCGGGUGAAGGAACUAGGCAAAAUGGUGCCGUAACUUCGGGAGAAGGCACGCUGACACGUAGGUGAAGUGAUUUACUCAUGGAGCUGAAGUCAGUCGAAGAUACCAGCUGGCUGCAACUGUUUAUUAAAAACACAGCACUGUGCAAACACGAAAGUGGACGUAUACGGUGUGACGCCUGCCCGGUGCCGGAAGGUUAAUUGAUGGGGUCAGCGCAAGCGAAGCUCCUGAUCGAAGCCCCGGUAAACGGCGGCCGUAACUAUAACGGUCCUAAGGUAGCGAAAUUCCUUGUCGGGUAAGUUCCGACCUGCACGAAUGGCGUAAUGAUGGCCAGGCUGUCUCCACCCGAGACUCAGUGAAAUUGAACUCGCUGUGAAGAUGCAGUGUACCCGCGGCAAGACGGAAAGACCCCGUGAACCUUUACUAUAGCUUGACACUGAACAUUGAGCCUUGAUGUGUAGGAUAGGUGGGAGGCUUUGAAGUGUGGACGCCAGUCUGCAUGGAGCCGACCUUGAAAUACCACCCUUUAAUGUUUGAUGUUCUAACGUGGACCCGUAAUCCGGGUUGCGGACAGUGUCUGGUGGGUAGUUUGACUGGGGCGGUCUCCUCCUAAAGAGUAACGGAGGAGCACGAAGGUUGGCUAAUCCUGGUCGGACAUCAGGAGGUUAGUGCAAUGGCAUAAGCCAGCUUGACUGCGAGCGUGACGGCGCGAGCAGGUGCGAAAGCAGGUCAUAGUGAUCCGGUGGUUCUGAAUGGAAGGGCCAUCGCUCAACGGAUAAAAGGUACUCCGGGGAUAACAGGCUGAUACCGCCCAAGAGUUCAUAUCGACGGCGGUGUUUGGCACCUCGAUGUCGGCUCAUCACAUCCUGGGGCUGAAGUAGGUCCCAAGGGUAUGGCUGUUCGCCAUUUAAAGUGGUACGCGAGCUGGGUUUAGAACGUCGUGAGACAGUUCGGUCCCUAUCUGCCGUGGGCGCUGGAGAACUGAGGGGGGCUGCUCCUAGUACGAGAGGACCGGAGUGGACGCAUCACUGGUGUUCGGGUUGUCAUGCCAAUGGCACUGCCCGGUAGCUAAAUGCGGAAGAGAUAAGUGCUGAAAGCAUCUAAGCACGAAACUUGCCCCGAGAUGAGUUCU
rnacentral:rRNA from 1 species